AUCAAAUAAUAAAUUAAUUAAUCCUUUAGCAAAGAUCAGAACACUCGUUAGUGUGCGACCCCAUAGGUUCAAUACUAAACCGGUAGAAAAUUGAUCAUAUCAAUAUACUAAUCAAGGGUGGCAUCUAGCAACACUCCUUAACGACCGGAUAGCAUGAUCGACCAUUGAAUGACCUAAGAAACUCAUUUCUUCUUCCAUUCAAUUGCCCUGGCCAAGGUCUUAGUUUGGUCGUUUAUAAUUCAUGACAACAUGGAGCUUAAACUCAUUACCAAAAGUUGACAUAUUCCGUCUUGAUCAAUCACUAAUUCUACAAGUAUUCAAUCGUACCCAAUAUCCUUUCAAC
rnacentral:lncRNA from 1 species